GGAGAAGUGGCAGAGUGGUCGAAUGCACUGGUCUUGAAAACCAGCGAGGGUCACACCUCCAGGGGUUCGAAUCCCUUCUUCUCCGCAA
rnacentral:tRNA from 2 species